rnacentral:rRNA from 1 species
UGCGUAGGCGGAUUAAUAAGUCAGUGGUGAAAUCUUUCGGCUCAACCGAGAAACUGCCAUUGAUACUGUUGAUCUUGAGUUCGGUUGAGGUAGGCGGAAUGUGUAAUGUAGCGGUGAAAUGCUUAGAUAUUACACAGAACACCAAUUGCGUAGGCAGCUUACUAGACCGACACUGACGCUGAGGCACGAAAGCGUGGGGAGCAAACAGGAUUAGAUACCCUGGUAGUCC